UACGUAGGUGGCAAGCGUUGUCCGGAUUUACUGGGCGUAAAGGGCGCGUAGGCGGCCCGUCAAGUCCCGUGUGAAAGCCCCCGGCUCAACCGGGGAACUGCACGGGAAACUAGCAGGCUUGAGUUCGGGAGAGGGAAGCGGAAUUUCGGGUGUAGCGGUGAAAUGCGCAGAUAUCCGAAGGAACACCCGUGGCGAAGGCGGCUCUCUGGGACGGUACUGACGCUGAGACGCGAAAGCGUGGGGAGCGAACAGG
rnacentral:rRNA from 1 species